AGGGUUUGAUUCUGGCUCAGGACGAACGCUGGCGGCGUGCUUAACACAUGCAAGUCGAACGAGAAUCUGCGGAAAGAGGAUUCGUCCAAUUGAAGCAGAGGACAGUGGCGGACGGGUGAGUAACGCGUGAGGAACCUGCCUUUCAGAGGGGGACAACAGUUGGAAACGACUGCUAAUACCGCAUGACACAUUGGGGUCGCAUGGCCCCGAUGUCAAAGAUUUAUCGCUGAAAGAUGGCCUCGCGUCUGAUUAGCUAGUUGGUGAGGUAACGGCCCACCAAGGCGACGAUCAGUAGCCGGACUGAGAGGUUGAACGGCCACAUUGGGACUGAGAUACGGCCCAG
rnacentral:rRNA from 1 species